rnacentral:rRNA from 1 species
UACGUAGGGUGCAAGCGUUAAUCGGAAUUACUGGGCGUAAAGCGUGCGCAGGCGGCUUUGUAAGUCUGUCGUGAAAGCCCCGGGCUCAACCUGGGAAUUGCGAUGGAGACUGCAAGGCUUGAAUCUGGCAGAGGGGGGUAGAAUUCCACGUGUAGCAGUGAAAUGCGUAGAGAUGUGGAGGAACGCCGAUGGCGAAGGCAGCCCCCUGGGUUAACACUGACGCUCAGGCACGAAAGCGUGGGGAGCAAACAGG